AUCAUUACUGAGUUUACGCUCUACAACCCUUUGUGAACAUACCUAUAACUGUUGCUUCGGCGGGUAGGGUCUCCGUGACCCUCCCGGCCUCCCGCCCCCGGGCGGGUCGGCGCCCGCCGGAGGAUAACCAAACUCUGAUUUAACGACGUUUCUUCUGAGUGGUACAAGCAAAUAAUCAAAACUUUUAACAACGGAUCUCUUGGUUCUGGCAUCGAUGAAGAACGCAGCGAAAUGCGAUAAGUAAUGUGAAUUGCAGAAUUCAGUGAAUCAUCGAAUCUUUGAACGCACAUUGCGCCCGCCAGCAUUCUGGCGGGCAUGCCUGUUCGAGCGUCAUUUCAACCCUCAAGCUCUGCUUGGUGUUGGGGCCCUACAGCUGAUGUAGGCCCUCAAAGGUAGUGGCGGACCCUCCCGGAGCCUCCUUUGCGUAGUAACUUUACGUCUCGCACUGGGAUCCGGAGGGACUCUUGCCGUAAAACCCCCAAUUUUCCAAAGGUUGACCUCGGAUCAGGUAGGAAUACCCGCUGAACUUAAGCAUAUCAAUAAGCGGAGGAAAAGAAACCAACAGGGAUUGCCUCAGUAACGGCGAGUGAAGCGGCAACAGCUCAAAUUUGAAAUCUGGCCCUAGGCCCGAGUUGUAAUUUGCAGAGGAUGCUUUUGGUGCGGUGCCUUCCAAGUUCCCUAGAACGGGACGCCAGAGAGGGUGAGAGCCCCGUACAGUUGGACACCAAGCCUUUGUAAAGCUCCUUCGACGAGUCGAGUAGUUUGGGAAUGCUGCUCAAAAUGGGAGGUAUAUUUCUUCUAAAGCUAAAUACCGGCCAGAGACCGAUAGCGCACAAGUAGAGUGAUCGAAAGAUGAAAAGCACUUUGAAAAGAGGGUUAAACAGCACGUGAAAUUGUUAAAAGGGAAGCGCUUGUGACCAGACUUGCGUCCGGUGAAUCACCCAGCUCUCGCGGCUGGGGCACUUCGCCGGCUCAGGCCAGCAUCAGCUCGCUGUCGGGGACAAAAGCUUCAGGAACGUAGCUCUCUUCGGGGAGUGUUAUAGCCUGUUGCAUAAUACCCUUCGGCGGGCUG
rnacentral:misc_RNA from 1 species